AUGCUCAGAAUAACUUCCUGCAGCGACCAACAGGCUAAAGAGGGGGAAGUUCUGGAGGGAUCCAGCACCGGCUCCUCCUCCGGCAACCACGGUGGGAGCGGCGGAGGAAAUGGACAUAAACCCGGGUGUGAAAAGCCAGGGAAUGAAGCCCGCGGGACCGGCGAAUCUGGGAUUCAGGGGCAAGGGUCCAGCUGGGGCAGUGGAGGAGGUGACGCUGUUGGUGGAGUCAAUACUGUGAACUCUGAGACGUCUCCUGGGAUGUUUAACUUUGACACUUUCUGGAAGAAUUUUAAAUCCAAGCUGGGUUUCAUUAACUGGGAUGCCAUAAACAAGAACCAGGUCCCGCCCCCCAGCACCCGAGCCCUCCUCUACUUCAGCCGACUCUGGGAGGAUUUCAAACAGAACACUCCUUUCCUCAACUGGAAAGCAAUUAUUGAGGGUGCAGACGCAUCAUCACUGCAGAAACGUGCAGGCAGAGCCGAUCAGGUGAGUCUCUGUCCUCAGGUUCCCCUGCAGGGCCCUUGGUCCCCCUUGGCCUUGCUCCCGGGUCUGGGCAAUCUGAAAUUCUCUUUCACCCUUCCAUUCAAUGGCUCUCUCAGCCGGGUGCAGGAUGGCAGGAGGUGGCAGCUGUAACUUCCAAGGUGAGACAUCUACCACGGACCCGCUGGGUUAGGUCCUGGCACUUCUUUUCUUGGUCUCCUACCCUCACCUCCCAAGUAACACUUGAAGAGUUGGGAGAGGUCUUGAGGGC
rnacentral:sRNA from 1 species